GCACUCGCCUCGGCAGCACAUACACUAAAAUUGGAACAAAACAGAGAAGAUUAGCAUGGCCCUUGCGCAAGGAUGACAAAAAAAAUUAAUAAAAAAAAAGAAAAAAA